rnacentral:rRNA from 1 species
UACGUAGGGUGCAAGCGUUGUCCGGAAUUAUUGGGCGUAAAGAGCUCGUAGGCGGUUUGUCGCGUCGAAUGUGAAAACCCGGGGCUCAACCCCGGGCCUGCAUUCGAUACGGGCAGACUAGAGUUCGGUAGGGGAGUCUGGAAUUCCUGGUGUAGCGGUGAAAUGCGCAGAUAUCAGGAGGAACACCGGUGGCGAAGGCGGGACUCUGGGCCGAUACCGACGCUGAGGAGCGAAAGCGUGGGGAGCGAACAGG